ACGAACGCUAGCGGCGUGCUUUAAGCAUGCAAGUAGAACGAAACUAGUAGCAAUACUAGUUAAGUUGCGAACGGCUGAGUAAUAAGUAAGAAUCUUUCCUUUGGUGGGGAAUACCUCGUCGAAAGACGAGCUAAUACCGCAUAACAUCUCCGGAUAAAAGCGAUUAACUUCGCGCCGAUUGAGGAGCUUACUUCCCAUCAGGUAGUUGGUAGGGUAAUGGCCUACCAAGCCUACGACGGGUACCCGAUCUGAGAGGAUGGACGGGCAGAGUGGGACUGAGACACGGCCCACACACCUACGGGUGGCAGCAACUGGGAAUCGUACACAAUGGACGAAAGUCUGAUGUCGCGACGCCGCGUGAAGGAUGAAGGCGUUUUCGUUGUAAACUUCUUUUGCCAUGUGUGAGAACACAUGGAGAAUAAGCACCUGCUAAUCUCGU
rnacentral:rRNA from 1 species